AUCACACAAUCACUGGGUUGAUGAUAUCUGGUUAACUUGAGAGUGAAAUUUUCUUCACAGGAUUUUGAGACCAUCAUUCCAACAGAGGCUCUGCUUGCAGCAGAAGCGGCUGAGGGUGUCAAAGGAAAAUAAGGCAGAGCAACCACUAUGGAGGUGCAGGAGCUGAGCCAUUGCCUCACCUGCUGCAUGCCACACAGUAUACACAGCGAAUGAUGCAACAGCAGUGCCUUUUUCAAUGGACACUUGAAGCCUUCCCUCAUUCAGUCUGCACUUUACUCCAUGGUCUAUGAAGCAAGGCUUUUACGGGAUUGCCAGGUCUACAUGCAGCCUGGCCUGCAGCAGCUAAUCACCCUGAAGCCGGUGCUAGAUUCAGCCAAAGCCACUGAAAUCCCUGCUGGAGACAUCUCUUUCCUGCUGAUCAUGGCAUUGUGAAGCUCACCACUCAACCUAGGAAUGAGAAUUCUAGCCUCGUCAGUGACAACGGGAAUGCUAUCAACCAGGGUCCUCCAGAUCAGCACGCUUGACAGACUGUCGCUCAGCCAGCCUGCCAGCCCUAGAGCAUGCAUUCUGUAAUGAGGGAGUGCGGAGAGCACAUGGGGAGAAGAGACAGACAAGGAAACCCUCGAGGUCUAUGAAUUCACACACAAGAGCUACAGGGACUGUCUGCUUCAUUAAGCAGCUGGCUCUAGGUUUUGGGUGGUGGUUGCAGGGGGAUACAUUUGCCCGAGCUGUAGUCUGAAUCACACCAGCAGAACUACUGUGUCUCUGUCAGAGAGACAGGAGCAAAGCAGAGAAGAGAAAUUGGGAGAGAAUAUCCCAUAAUUACCUUCCUUUCUAAAGAGCUCUGGGGAACAGCUUGCAAAGAACACAGGCAGUGGUUAAAAUAGAUGGUAACAGGCAGGGAAGCUCUUCCUAUGCCAUCCAAGGAGAAGGAGGAGUGUUGCUCCCCCAGGUGAGGGAGAACAGAGGGGGCUCUCCUUCUGUUUUAAAGCAUGGAAUUAAGAAGUAAAAAGGAAGGGGUGUUCUCAAGCACAUUAUUUGUCCCACCUCCUCAUACAAUCAACAUAUCUUUGGCUAGUGUCUCUGCUGAUCUACACCACCUCACGUCUCAAGCAGGCAGCUUUAGUUAAUGUAAGAGGCUACAAGAAUGGCAGCAAUAAUUAUUUUACAGAUCAACACACUCUGGGAAUUGAAGUAUUUUGGGGGGGGGGAUCAGGCACAACCUAAUCUAACCCAAAAUCAAAUGCCUAUUUAGCUAACAAGGUAGUCAAAGAUAAGUGACUAAACUCCAGAGUUCACACUA